UAUGAGUAUUCGCACAAUUGGAAAUUGGGUAGGAUCUGCAAAAACAGUAUCUAUAAUUAAUGCAUAGGAAAUGCUUAUGUUCUUUUCCUAGUCCUCUAAUUAGGAUAAAUGUAUGUAUUUCUACACAGCUCAUUAGGAGAGAGCAUGGGAGUCAGCUGAAUAUAUGUGGAAAGGGGGAGUUAUCUUUAAAAACAAAGUAAGCGAUGAGGUUAGUGCACUACUAGCGUAAUGCUUAAGUACUCAGGAGCUCAGGGAGGCAUGACUAAACUGCUGUAAUAGCUUGGGAGCUGCAAAAUACAAGAAGUGGAAUGAGUGACUGGGACCCACAGAGAGACCUUCCUUCUCAAGUGAAAUGCAAUGUUUAAUUCUAUUAUCUGCUUCAGCUCUGACCACAGAUCAUUAUUGUUCAAGAUCAUUUGCUCACUACUGCUGGUAUCUAAAAAUACCUCUACUUAUUCUUGUCCUCCUCUUCUGGAGUCUCUCCAAUAUCCAACACUGUUUCCUAGAAAUGUCUGGUUCCAUUUGGACCUUCAUGAAUGCUAAUACAGAACAUGUAAGCCCUAUUUUUGCAUCCAAGCUAGACAUUUGCUUUUUUUUUUUUUUCCACAGCCCUAUGAUGAUAUUGUUUCAUUCUCAGUUUGUGAGCAACUGUAAUUGAAAUUGUCUUGCAUUUUAGUCAUGUCUUUUAAGAUGUUGGUGUCCUUUGCUUGUUCAAUUUCAUCUUCAAAUCUAAGUAUGUUGCUAUUCUACUACCCAACUUGCUAUUGAAAGCGCUCAAUAUUGAUAUGACCCAAAUCUGUAACUCCCACUUGUUUCUUUCAUCCUUCAAAAGCUAUUUGUGCCUGGCGGUGAUCGCUAACUACUCUUUAAGGACUACUUUUCAGUCAGUUCCCAUGCGUUCAUUUGAACUUUGUUUCCUUGACUUGCUCCUAAAAGAUCACAGCACCUUAUUAAAGCUAAGUCCACCUUGUUUGCUUCCCCUGAUCAAAAUCAACCAUGACUCCAGGACAUUACCACUAAUCUUCCAGACUUCUGUUAAUCACAGAAUCACAGAAUCACAGAAUUUCUAGGUUGGAAGAAACCUCAAGAUCAUCAAGUCCAACCUCUGACCUAACACUAACAGUCCCCACUAAACCAUAUCCCUA
rnacentral:lncRNA from 1 species